rnacentral:lncRNA from 1 species
GUCACGCCUCCCGAGACUGGGGCUGUGCGGCCUCACGGAGAAACUGAGGCAGGCGCGAAGCGUCGAGUGCGCGCGUGGCCCUGCAGGCAGGCGGAGACCCUGGUGGCUCCCAUACACGUAACAGCACUCACUGCUCUUUGACGUUAGUGAAUAGACCGUAAGCUCCCUGGAGCAGGGACCUUAUCCCAGCGUCUACCGCGGCGCCCGUCACCUACAGAUAAUCAGGUUUUGUACAUUCUUGGCUCAGAAAGUUGGACAGGACAGGAAGUCUUUUUUGGAAUACAAACCCACUGGUGGAAAAUUCAAAGGACUACUGGGAACAGGCAGGACCCACUGAUGAUCUCUUCUGGAGUUUUGGCCUGAAGCUAAAACUGGCAGCCCCUGGACUAAGUUCAGCAUAUAGACUAGAUCCGAUAUUUAGCCAUUAUGCACCCUGCACCAUAUUGAUGGUUAAAAUGUUGAAAUAUUUC